rnacentral:lncRNA from 1 species
UCGUAGGUUAAACCGCUUGAGUUUUACCGGCGAUAACUUAGUUUCUAGCUGCACGCGAUGCUGCUCGUUGCCGUUGGAUUUGUCUUGCUUUUGCUUAUAGUUUUUCUGAUUGUAAUUAUCAUAAUGCAGAAUUCGAUUCUUGAAGUCGUAAUGACUGUCAAAACGGAAUUUUCUCAACGAUAAGACACUUUAUCUAAUCUUAGCGAUCUGGCUGCUGACACUGUUAUGUUAUACCAAAUUAUGAGUGUUAAACCAGGUGCUUCUCAGCGACGUUUAUCAACGCGUGUAGACAGGUAUACAUCAGCAAUACCUUUUUGUUUGCAUUAAUCAAGCCAGGAUUUUUUCAGGAGGAAGAAGAAGAAGAACGUAUUCAAGUAUUUCAAACACACUAUGACCGCCAUAUCCAUUGCCAACGAAGCAUUACGCUCAAUACAAAGGUCAUCGGGCCAGCUGGACACAACAAACAAAACCUCUAAGGGAUAUCUAUCCGCUCUGACCUAAAAGCAACGAACAUCCUGUCUGUUCUGGCCUAACAGUAACUCGCUUGACGUGUUUCGUGUUUUUUAGUCAAUCCACGAUAAAAAAUUCAGGCUGUCUGCUUCCUGACUGUAUGUACUCUAUCACCUACGGGAGCAAGAGAAAGAAAUGAGGAGAAUUUAGUUGAAUUAGACACCUUCUGUCUAUCCCUUCAGUAUCUCUUACAGGUAUUUUGUCUGUGGUUCGUCGAAGAGAUCGGUUUGAACUCGUUUUCACUAUUUACAGACAGUUUGCAGCAAAAGAGCCCUGGAUACAAGUUCCAAGACAGUUGGCGUCGAAAUGUACACAGCUAUUGGAAUAAGUAAUGGAGCAGCUUUUCUUUUAGUAUUGGUACAAUGUGUGUGUGUGUCACAGAAAGAAAAAACGAUGCAAUUCCAUACCGAUUUUGAGAAUUUUUCCAAAAUCGUCACGAGGAACUCGUAGCAUGGAUAUCGUUUUCGUAGACAAUGGUUGACGAAGUCGUAAAAAGUUAUUAUCGUACAUAUAGUUUCUUUAGUCAGCGUUUAACUGUAUCUGAAGACUUCUGAAGAUUCCUAAAAAUCUCCAAAUGCUCAGAAAUGCUACUACUGUAAAGAUUACUCCCACACGAGCUUCCUUUGCCAUUAUCUGAUUUGCCAACAAAAAAGACAGCCAUGUAUCUCAAAAUGUCAUGAGUUAUCUUUUGGUAAGAAAACAGUUAGUGGAUCUGCGUCUCAUUUUUAUCAGAGGAAGGAAAGUUGAGUUGUAUAAGCAGUACUUUCUUGUAGAAGAAGAAUAUUUGAUGCCCAAAGGAAUAGCUGGGUUUCUUUAACUUACAAACAAACAUUAAAGAUGUCUGAAAUAAUUCCUUAGACCACAUGCUCUCUUCACUAACGCUUGCCAAUGUCUCCUAUUUAGGAUAGUCGUCUUGUCAUUCUUAAUGUAACCGUGUUGCCAAUAUUCAAAUAUGUAUUGCUAUAUUUUAAAAGUAGAACGGUAACUUCGAAUAUUUGAAUGAAUAAACACAAAGCAAGAUUCGGUGAAAAACAGGAAAGCUUACUGCUACAGUAAUGUAUUUGAUAAAUGUUACUACAGAGAAGUAAUUGUGAUUUUUUAAGUUUCAGUACCAUGAAAGGUUUUCAAGUAAACAGUUGCAUUUUAGUUCUUAUUUGCCAUUUUGCUAAGAUAAAACAUUUCUAAGUUAAUUUCUCUGUUAGUAUAAUUGUUUGUUGCCAUGGAAAUAGCUCAGCUUAUGACACAGUAAAAACAUUUAUGACAUCAGUUAAUAAAUACUUUUUCGAUUUAUCGAUAAUAGAUUUUUUAUGUUAAAAGCCCGAGUGAACAAGUUCAGCUCCAAACUUCUUAAAUUUCGAAAGUGAAACGAAAUUUGUGACAAUCGUUCUUAUAAUAUUGAAGAAAUUAAUAUUGUAAUUAAUAUGA